AAAUAAACCUGAUAAAGCGUAAAGCCCACAGCGCAGCGAGGACUUGAAGCGAUAGCAGGACUGCUG
rnacentral:sRNA from 1 species